UCAAAAUGUCUUUAUUGUUUUAAUUUAUUUUGUUUAGUCAACAAGUUGUUUUUCCAGACAUUUAUUGGUGUGUUCAGUUCUGUUACGCUGCAGUUGGUGGUUACCAUAGCAACCGGUAACUGGCAGCUCCUCCCCCUUUUUUCUGUUGCCGUCGGUAACUGAGGCAUGUAUUAGGAUCAGCUCAGUGUUUUGUUUAU